UUUUCUUCAUAUUUACAAAAUUCUACGAGUUAGGAGUAAAUAACAAAAAGAGUUUAUCUUUUUCUUAUUCUCUUCCUCCUUCUCCAAACCUUCACCACUACCACUUGUUCUGUCUCCAUCUUUCUCUCCGCCACUUCUAGUGCAAUCACCAACACAAUCAUGAUCCAACCUAAUUUAUCCGUUUGUUUAUUUUUAUUACCAAUCCAUCUUCUCUUCUUUAAUACUACUAAAAUCACCUCCCUUGCCCUGUAUUCAUCCAAGGUUCUCAAGAAAAAACCCUAAAUUCUACUGAAACACCAAUUCAACACUUUAGAGUCAAUCCCAGCUAUACUUUCAACCUAAUUUGUUCAAUUGAUGCAACACCCAUCUCCAAUUUAUGGAAACACUACAAUUAUAGCCAAGAACCCUAACUUAUGAUUUUCUAAUUUUGUUAACCAUACCCUAAUUCUUCAAUCGUUUCAGAAUCAAUUAUUGAUUCUUCUCCCUUACUCUCAACAACGAACUCCUCAUCCAAUUAAUCGAUCAAUAACAAACAAUUUCACAUAAUAUGGUUAGUUUGAUAAACCCUACAUCUGCUAUCAAUCAUCACUUGGAUGAAUUUGUUGAUGAGUUUUAUGCAAGAACAGUCAGCGCGAAGAGCAUGAAUCUGUUCAUGGGUUUUAUGAGAGAGAUGAUUUGGAGAAUCUUUCAGAUAUAUAGCAUCACUAGGAGUCUGAGAUGAUUGUUUGGUGGAAUUAAAAGAUGGGAGGAGUAAUGGAUUCUAGGGUUCUAUUAUGACUGAGGAAUUGAUGAUAUUGGCGAGAAUAAUAACAGAUUUGGUUCUGUCGUGGUCAGUGAAGAUUUAGGAAUUCGUGGUUUAUUUCAUGAACACAAAUCAGGGAAGAAAUGAAUUGGAUGCUACUGAAAGAUGAAUAGGAGAUAAGAAGAAUAAUAGAAUGGUGCUUGUCAUGGGAAUCAAAAAUAAAUUGGAUGCUUCUGGUGAAGAUUCCUGCGCUUCUUUAAUCUCAAAAUGAUGUUAAUUCUUUUUGAUUCGAUCUUUUCAUUGAUUUCAUUUGAGUAAAAUUAAGGUUUGAUUUCAUUGUAAUAGCCAAAUCGUAUAUCCACAUCAUGGGGUAUACUUGUAAACUCAUAAUUUCACAUUAUUUUUAAAUAUAAAACUAAUUAAAGUCA